CUUGUAAGUCAUUUUUUUUUAAUUAUAAUUGUGAGUCAUUUUUAAAUUUAUGACAUAAUUUGUACUAAAGUACGGACAAUCCUCAAGGACUUUUGGCAAGGCAAGUUUUUGCUCAUCCAUAAGAAGUUAUGAUGAUCCGCGGGGAAUUACUAUGAUAUUGUGACACACAAAUUAUUUUUAUAAAAUGAGUCAAAACCUAACAUUUUUUUUUCUCAUUCAAAACCUAAAAUUGUGGCACAAAAAUAUCCUAUUUAUACAAAUCAAAAUGCAAUAUCCGAGGAUACAAAAUGUUGAGCUCUAGUAAUUCUAGAAGAAUCAGUACUAGUUCAAUAGAUCCCCUCCUCCAUUUGCUCUUUGAGUUCUCUUCAUCUUUCUCAUCUGGGUUUUGCAAUUUUUGGUAAAUUUUCAUCUCAAACUUUGCCCUAAUUUUCUUCCGGUUCUCUUCAGAUUUAUCAUUUUCAUGCUUAAUUCAUGGUUGGUAAGACCUAAAUGUGUGGCCAAGUUGACUAUGCCCAUAUAAGGCUUUGAUUUUUCGAAAGUCUUGCUAAUUAUUUGCCUGGUGAUAUCACAAAGAAGUGUGUUUCUCCAAAUAGUAAUCUUCGUAUGUUGUGCUGCUGGACGUUUUGCAUCCCUCUGAAGCAUUGGUGUCUUGUACCAAUUAAAAAAAUGUAUUGGUGUCUUGUCCCUGCUGCUCUUCCUUUUUGGCUUUAAUUUAAUUUUAAUAUGAUAAUGCUAAAUGGUUGUGCUUUAUAUUUCAUGUUAUAUUGUAUCGAUGGGUGUACUUUAGGAAAAAUGUUAAGAUUACAAAUAUCAACUAUUAAAUUAGGAAUCUUUCUGAAACGCUUGAAAAAUAGAUGCCUAGCAAUAAAAUAAAGAUGGACAAAGAGUUACCUUUACCCUAAAAAAAAAAAAAAAAAGAAUGGACAAAGGCCAAAUAGAGCAAAGGGGUAACAUUCAUAUAUUGGUUUUGAGAUGUUACCGAACCACACACCUCAAACUAUAUUAGAAGCUAAUUUUUUAAAUAAUUUUAGUAUAUGUCAAUUCUUUUGCUCAACUUCUGUCAAAAUUAGUUUGAUGAAACACCAACCAUUAGCUUUUCCCAGCCUCCUAAAAUGAGGAAAUUAAUUUAAUUUACUGGCAACCAAAUUCACCUGUCACCGGUAAUUGUUUAUAUGUCUCUAAAUAUUGUUAGCAGAAGUUAUAUUGACUGUAUGGUAACUUUAUGUGGUUCACUUACUGAUGUGCCGCGAAAUUACGACACAUUCGAUGCCAAUUGCUUAUCUUUUGUGAAUCCUCAAGUACUUUUGAUGUCACUUUUCGUGUUUUUGUGUUAAUUUAUAGACUAAUAAGUGUUGGAAGUAAAAUGAAGCAAAUACAAGCCAAAGUGCACCAAAGCACCACUUGCGAGUCGCAAGUACUGCACCAUUUGAUGACAGAGAUGUUGAAGAAGUGAAGAUAGUGGUGCAGCACUUGCGAGCACCACAUGCAAGUCGCAUGUGGUGCAUGCGAGCCGCACUUGAUGCAGCAUGUGCUGCACCACAACUGCUGGAAUCUGCAGCACCUGCGAUACUUUGGUGCAACCUGCGAUUGGCAGGUUGCACAUGACGCGCAGGGGUGUUUUUGUCUAGAUUUUGUUCCCGUUUUUGUACUUCUAUAAAUAGAAUUCUAGGGUUUUGGAUUCAUUAUUCUAUACUUUUUAAAGUUGGCUUUUUGUGGAGCUCAUUUAUUAUUGAUGGUUAAAGCUUUUUAAGAGAUUCUCCACUUUUGUCAUCUUCUCCAUUUAAGACUUUUGUAAGCUUUAUGAAUACUCUUUAUGCUAUUACUUUAUGUGUAAUGAAUAUUAGUGGCUAAACUCAUUUAGCUAAGGUUGUGGGAUCAAAUGUGAUAGUUAUGUGAUUGAGUUUCA